rnacentral:rRNA from 1 species
CGGGUGAGUAACGCGUGGAUAAUCUACCCUUAAGAUGGGGAUAACGGCUGGAAACGGUCGCUAAUACCGAAUACGCUCCCGAUUUUAUCGUUGGGGGGAAAGAUGGCCUCUGCUUGCAAGCUAUCGCUUAAGGAUGAGUCCGCGUCCCAUUAGCUAGUUGGCGGGGUAACGGCCCACCAAGGCGGCGAUGGGUAGCCGGUCUGAGAGGAUGACCGGCCACACUGGAACUGGAACACGGUCCAG